GCCUGGGUGGCUCAGCGGUUGAGCGGCCCAGGGUGAGAUCCUGGAGUCCUGGGAUCGAGUCCCACAUCAGGCU
rnacentral:tRNA from 1 species